CCUACGGGAGGCAGCAGUGGGGAAUCUUGCACAAUGGAGGAAACUCUGAUGCAGCGAUGCCGCGUGAGUGAAGAAGGCCUUUGGGUUGUAAAGCUCUUUUGUAGGGGAAGAUAGUGACUGUACCCUAAGAAUAAGGUCCGGCUAACUUCGUGCCAGCAGCCGCGGUAAUACGAAGGGACCUAGCGUAGUUCGGAAUUACUGGGCGUAAAGCGCGCGUAGGCCGUUGAGUUAGUUAAUUGUGAAAUCCCAAAGCUUAACUUUGGAACUGCAAUUAAAACUGCUCGACUAGAGUUUGAUAGAGGAAAGCGGAAUACAUAGUGUAGAGGUGAAAUUCGUAGAUAUUAUGUAGAACACCAGUUGCGAAGGCGGCUUUCUGGAUCAACACUGACGCUGAGGCGCGAAAGUAUGGGUAGCAAAGAGGAUUAGAUACCCUCGUAGUCCAUACCAUAAACGAUGAUUGCUAGAUGUUGGAAAUUUAUUUUCAGUAUCGCAGCUAACGCAUUAAGCAAUCCGCCUGGGGAGUACGACCGCAAGGUUAAAACUCAAAGGAAUUGACGG
rnacentral:rRNA from 1 species